AAUUAUUGUCAAAACAGUUCAGACUUAUACAGCAGAGAUCAUUUACUCUGAUCCGACAUUUCACAGAAGCAACGAAGAGAAUUUGGCUGUUAAAGGGGAUGAUAAUGUGGAGUAUGCACCUAUUGCCACGAGAAAAUGAUCUCCAGUCUUAAGUGCUUUUCCAUCAGAUGAGUGUUUGCUUUUACUAGGAAUCUCCUGCAACAACCUCCAACUCUGAGCCUUGGGAUGAGUUUAAAGUUUGGUUAGAAUCACCACAUACUUAAGGACUGCUUAAUGAAAGGAUCCCCUAAAAAUAUACAUGUGUCUCAUUUAUCUACAAGUGUAUGAAACUGUUGUUUGAUCUGACAAACAAAAA